rnacentral:rRNA from 1 species
UGGUGGAGUGAUUUGUCUGGUUAAUUCCGUUAACGAACGAGACCUUAGCCUACUAAAUAGUUGAGCCAAGUCUUUGGCGGCAACUUCUUAGAGGGACUUUGCUGGCAACAGCAAGGAAGUUUGAGGCAAUAACA